CCGUUUAAAGGUUUAAGGUUUGUUACAUAUGCUAAAUGCAUAUGUUUUUUCUUUUUCUUUUUUUCAUUUUAGAUUUGCUUGAGGACAAGCAUAGGUUAAGUGUGGGGGAAUAUGAAAAGUGUAUAUCUUCUUUAUAUUUUACUAUUAAUUUCUUCAUUUUUUUUGUUUUUUUUAAAUAUUCUAGUUAUUUUAGUUAAUUUUUAAUUUAAUAAUUUAUUUUGAUUUAAUUUAAAUUUUUCAUCUUUAGUUUAACUUAUAAUUUAAUUAUCCUUAAUUUUGUUUUUAGUAUGGGUGAAAAAUUCAAAGAGAGAAAAUUGGAAUAUAGCUAGGCCCC
rnacentral:lncRNA from 1 species